rnacentral:rRNA from 1 species
AGCAGCCGCGGUAAUUCCAGCUCCAAUAGCGUAUAUUAAAGUUGCUGCAGUUAAAAAGCUCGUAGUUGAAUUUCGGGACCAUCACGUCGGUCGUGCCUCGGUACGUACUGGCGUCGUUGGUUUCUCCCUUCUGACGAACCAUGAUGUCGUUUAUUUGGUGUCGUGGGGAAUCAGGACUGUUACUUUGAAAAAAUUAGAGUGUUUAAAGCAGGCUCACGCUUGAAUACAUUAGCAUGGAAUAAUGAAAUAGGACGUUUGAUUCUAUUUUGUUGGUUUCUAGGAUCGACGUAAUGAUUAAUAGGGAUAGUUGGGGGCAUUAGUAUUCAAUUGUCAGAGGUGAAAUUCUUGGAUUUAUUGAAGACUAACUACUGCGAAAGCAUUUGCCAAGGAUGUUUUCAUUAAUCAAGAACGAAAGUUAGGGGAUCGAAGACGAUCAGAUACCGUCGUAGUCUUAACCAUAAACUAUGCCGACUAGGGAUCGGAUGAUGUUAAUUUUUUAAUGUACUCAUUCGGCGCCUUA